UAAAAAUGUAAAGACGAAAAAAAUAAAAAAUUAGACAAAAAAAAAGGAGAAGUGAAUAAAUGCAAAGCAAGAAGAAAACCACACCCAAUCUGAAUAAGCAAUAAAGGAAAAAAGGGAGAUAUAAAAGAAGUAUGGUUGAGUAGUGGAAGAAAAUAAGGUAAGCAUAGUGCCAAGGUAGGUGAGUCACUAUAUUACAAAUGUACCAUAACUACCCCCAUGCCUAUAUUACAAGCCUAUAAAAAUCCUAGAGUGAUCCAAUUCCGACUGUCCGAAAAACUAAGGUAUAGAAAAUAAGGGCAAGCCUAUGGUAUUUUAGGCACAUUAUUGGAACUUCUUUGGGAGCAUGAGUGUCUCUAAAUUGUCCUCAUAUUUACAUGCAUUAUUGUACUAUGAGAGUUGGAAUUCUUUGAUGUGAGGGUACAUGGGUUGUAUUUUUAACUACUUAUUUGUUCAGGUGGUGUCAGUUGCAUAUACGCUUGGUUGUUCGGUGCUAUAUAAUGCAAUUACUUGAUUCAUUUGUGUCAUACUGCUCUGCUACAUGGAUCCACACAGGGGUUUUGAAAUAUGUAAAUAGGAGGGGUAAAAGAUGUAAGCUAAAUUGAGUUGAAUGUUGUAGGUGCGUUAGAUUUCUUUUAGUUAAGCAUCGUACUUUCUUUAUUAUGUGUUAGUUGUCUAAGGACAUGCAAACAUUCAAAGUUGAGGGUGUUGAUGUUCCAUUGUUUCAUGGUACUUUUGAUGCUUAAAACAAGGAAAUUAUGCAAGAACUUAGGUCUUUUUGUUAGAUGUGAUGUGUUUUUAUGUUAGUUUUGCAGGAAAACAUGGUUCGGCAGAGAAGGAGCAAAAAGGUGAUGGAG
rnacentral:lncRNA from 1 species